rnacentral:rRNA from 1 species
CCGGCGACCGGCGGACGGGUGCGUAACGCGUAUGUAACCUACCUUUGACAGGGGGAUAACAUCGAGAAAUUGGUACUAAUACCCCAUAACAUCACCGGAGGCAUCUUCGGUGGUUGAAAACUCAGGUGGUCAGAGAUGGACAUGCGUUGUAUUAGCUAGUUGGUGAGGUAACGGCUCACCAAGGCGACGAUACAUAGGGGGACUGAGAGGUCAACCCCCACAUUGGUACUGAGACACGGACCAAACUCCUACGGAAGGCAGCAG